AAAUGAAUAAUUUUAUUAAUAGUUUAAUAGUAUAGAUAUAGAACUAUGAAAUAAAUUGAUAAUAAUUUAUAUAAUAAGAAAAGUUUAUUAUUUGUACCUUGUGUAUCAGGGUUUAUUAAAUAAAUUUUAUUUAUAAAUAAUUUUUUCGAAUUUAAGAGAUUUAUUUAUAUAAAAAAUUUAUUGUUUCAUAAAUAUUAAUUAUAUAUAAAUUGAAGUUAAAUAUUACUCGAUCUUAAAUAUAUCUAAUUUUUUAAGAAAUAAAUUUAAUUUAUUUAUUUAAAUUAAAUUAAAUUCUUUAUAAUUUUAUUUUAAAUUUAAAUAAAAAAUUUAUAAGGGAUAAGCUUUAUAAAUAACUUUAAUAAAUUAAUUUAUAAUAUUAAAAAAUAUAAUCUUAGAAAUAGAUAUUAUUAAAAAUUAGUGUAAUAAUUUAUUAUUAAAAUAUUAUUAUAUUAUUUAUUAUUAAUUUUUAAUUAUUUAUUAAAAAAUUAAUUUUAAUUUUAAAAAUUAAGUUAUAAUGAUAAAAUUAGUAUAUAAUUAAUUUAUUAAUAUAAUUAUAUAUAUAUAUAAUUUGUAAUUAUAUUAUAAUAAUUCGGCAAUAAUAAUUUUCACCUGUUUAUCAAAAACAUGUCUUUUUGAGUUUAAUUUAAAGUCUAACCUGCCCAUUGAAGGUUAAUUUUAAAGGCUGCAGUAUAUUGACUGUACAAAGGUAGCAUAAUCAAUAGUUUUUUAAUUGAAAACUUGUAUGAAUGGUUGAAUGAAAAAUUAACUUUUUUAAAUAUAAUAUAGAAUUUUACUUUUGAAUUAAAAGGUUUAAAUAUUUUUAAAAGACGAGAAGACCCUAUAGAGUUUUAUAAAUUUAUUUUAAAAUAAUUUAAGAUUAAUUAUUAAUUUAUAAGACAAUUUAUUUUAUUGGGGUGAUAGUAAAAUUUAAUAAACUUUUAUUUUAUUAAUACAUUAAUUAAUGAAUAUUUGUUCCAUUAUUAAUGAUUAAAAGAUUAAAUUACCUUAGGGAUAACAGCGUAAUUUUUUUUUUAAGUUCAUAUUAAUAUAAAAUUUUGCGACCUCGAUGUUGGAUUAAGAUUUAAUUUUAGGUGCAGAAGUUUAAAAUUUAAGUCUGUUCGACUUUUAAAUUCUUACAUGAUCUGAGUUCAAACCGGUGUAAGCCAGGUUGGUUUCUAUCUUUAAAUUAAUAAAGAAACUUUAGUACGAAAGGACCAAAUUUCUAAUAUUAUAUUUAAAUUUAAUUGAAUAAAAUUAAUUGUU
rnacentral:rRNA from 1 species